rnacentral:rRNA from 1 species
AGCUCCAAUAGCGUAUAUUAAAGUUGCUGUGGUUAAAAAGCUCGUAGUUGUUUUUUGCUGAUGCAUGCCAGUCUGCCCUCUGGGUAUGUAUUUGUCUUUGCUUCCGCAUUUUCUUGGGGAGAUAAGCUGCACUUGAUUGUGUGGUUUAGUACUUAAGGUAAUUACUUUGAGGAAUUCAGAGUGCUUCCAGCAAGCAUGUGCCUUGCAUACAAAAGCAUGGAAUAAUGUCAAAGUCCUUGUUGCAUUUGUUGGUUUCGUGAUUGGGGCAAGGGUUGAUAGGGAUGGUUGGGGGCAUUUGUAUUUAACUGUCAGAGGUGAAAUUCUUGGAUUUGUUAAAGACGGACUACUGCGAAUGCAUUUGCCAAGGAUGUUUUCU